GUGAGGAAUUUUCCGCAAUGGGCGAAAGCCUGACGGAGCAAUGCCGCGUGAAGGAUGAAGGCCUAUGGGUUGUAAACUUCUUUUCUUAGAGACGAAUAUUGACGGUAUCUGAGGAAUAAUCAUCGGCUAACUCUGUGCCAGCAGCCGCGGUAAGACAGAGGAUGCAAGCGGUAUCCGGAAUGAUUGGGCGUAAAGCGUCUGUAGGUGGCUUCAAUAGUCGCCUGUAAAAGAUCAGGGCUUAACCCUAGGCCGGCAGGAGAAACUCUGAGGCUAGACUUUGGUAGGAGCAGAGGGAAUUCGCGGUGGAGCGGUGAAAUGCGUAGAGAUCGGGAGGAACACCAAAGGCGAAAGCACUCUGCUGGGCCACAACUGACACUGAGAGACGAAAGCGAGGGGAGCAAAAGGGAUUAAAUACCCUGGUAGUCC
rnacentral:rRNA from 1 species